GAUGAAGAACGUAGCGAAAUGCGUUAAGUAAUGUGAAUUGCAGAAUUCAGUGAAUCAUCGAAUCUUUGAACGCACAUUGCGCCCCUUGGUAUUCCGAGGGGCAUGCCUGUUCGAGCGUCAUUAUAACCCCUCAAGCUCAGCUUGGUGUUGGGGCCUGCUGCACUGGCAGCCCUUAAAAUCAGUGGCGGCGCCAUCUGGCUCUAAGCGUAGUAAUUCUUCUCGCUAUGGAGUCCUGGUGGAUGCUUGCCAUCAACCCCCAAUUUUUCUAUGGUUGACCUCGGAUCAGGUAGGGAUACCCGCUGAACUUAAGCAUAUCAAUAAGCGGAGGA
rnacentral:misc_RNA from 1 species